rnacentral:rRNA from 1 species
ACAUGCCUACAACAUAACUUCAAUGCAUUGGAUCCCAUUAGAACUCCGUAGUUAAGCACGCUCAAGCUAGAGUAGUACUAGGAUGGUGACCGCUUGGGAAGUCCUGGUAUUUUACAUGCC